rnacentral:miRNA from 1 species
AGUCAGCCUAUCCUUUGAAGCUUUGAAGUCAGGCAUUGACUUCUCUCUAGCUAUGAAAAGUCCU